rfam:Acidobacteria bacterium RIFCSPLOWO2_02_FTLL_59_13 rifcsplowo2_02_scaffold_6049, whole genome shotgun sequence.
CCCAGCACUUACGUGCUGGGCUAGAAUCUGUCGCCCCCUUCGGGGGCU